AUGAUUAUGACGAAAUAGGGUAAACGUACUUAAUUUAGGGUUAAGGUUUUAUUGGUUCAAGUCCAAUUAAUCAUA